UCAUCGUGGAUCGCCUAAAAAACAGAAGGGGCUACAAUCAGGCCGCCCAGUCGCCCAACCGAUGCCCUCGACAAUCUUCUCUCCGCCUCCCAGCCGCUCCCGUCCUCGACGCGCCUCUCUCUGACACCCAAUCGCCCAGCCGCCGCCCUAGACGCGCCUAUCUCCGUCGCCCAGCCGCCCAUACACAACCGUCCGGUUCUUUCCUGACACCAGAGGAACAAAGAGAGGAGCAGAUCGGCACACCAGCCAUGUCCGCAUCUAAUAUAGCAUCUUCUAAACCCGGAUCCCUUCGAGUUGUGCCUUGCGCCGGUGUGGACGGAGAUUGUAGAUUCGACUUUUCUUGUGAUGUGCAGCCGCCGGCUUGGACGAUGCCACCAUUAUCAAUAAGCUCUUGAUUCUAUCUCCCUCUUCUUGCCUCCCGACGACCACUAUAUUGUAUAUUUUCUUAGAUUAAUUAGCAGCUGACAGGAGCAGAUAAUCAUGGAAUCAGGGUAAUCUUAUAAUCUGCACUUGACAUGCAUGGUAUGGCAGAGCCGUUUUACACGCAGGUACGUUCAGGCAGUCAAAACUAAGGUGUCCAUUUUUGUGGAGUUGAGGAGUAUUCCUAUAUGGUAAUAUGAGUUUGUGGUUAGCUAACUAAUUAAGUGGCAACUAGGGCAAAGUGGAACCAUGCCAUUUUUGCGUGUUCUUUUAAGUAUCACACAACGAUGCUAGUGGAGGUUGAAAUGUAAAUUCUCAUGGAUGCAUGUCUAUAUAUUUGGUUCUUUCAAAAAGAUCAUCUGCAACAUUAAGCUAGCAAGGAUAAUAGAGCUACAAAACAUAUACACAGGGUUGAGCAGCAUAUGCUAAUAUGAGUGUGCUUCAUCAGCUAUUUUUUAACCUUGAUUUUUGUGUUUUUUUUACAAUAUGACAUUGGGAUGCUAAUGCAGGUUGAAAUGUAGAUUGGGAUGUGAUUCUUUUUCCAUAUUGUUGAAAAAUAAAGAGCCCGGUGGUAGGGUCUCAAUUCACUCUGUUUUGGAUGCAAAUAUGAUACACUUUUAGAUACCACAUCUUGCCAAGGAGAAGAACGACAUGUUCUAUAGUUGAGCCUCAAGUUGUACCAACUCCCGUGCAUUGGGAAAAAUAUCAAAUAGACGUCUACGGGAAGUUCUGCUGGCAUACUGAAUUUUCGGAUUACUAUGGUUUUGAAAAAACAUUGCUGCCAAUCUAAGCAUGAGUUACUGUGGUUUUAAACCUUGAUGAUGAAAAUUUCAAAGCAUCUUAGCGUUUA